AGAGACAUUUAUAUAAGAAUAUGUGAUUUAGAGCAAAGCAGCUGGCGGAGCAGAAUAGAUCUUGAGGUCAGCCAUGUCAUCUGAGCCUCCCCCACCACCACAGCCCCCGACCCAUCACACUUCAGUCGUGCUGCUGGACACCCCUCGGACCCGCGAGCACUCACCAUACCCUCUGUGGGGCAGUGUGGUCCCGAGCCUACUGCCCACUCGCCAGAGGACAACCUUCUCAGCGACGGUACAGGCUUCACAGGGCCCCCCGUCUACAAAUGAGUCUGCAAAUGUUUGCUGAUCCAAGUGCCCUGGCUUCAUUACCCCAGCUGAUGGCAGCCCCAACAUCUUCCUGCAGGUCUCUGACAUGGAAGGGGAAUAUGUCUCAGGUGAAGGCGAUGAGGUCACCUAUAAGAUGUACUCCAUCCCACCCAAGAAUGAGAAGCUGCAGGCCGUGGAGGUUGUCAUUACACACCUGUCACCAGGCACCAAGCAUGAGACCUGGUCCAGGCACAUCAUCAGCUCCUAGGAGACGCUGGAAGCGCCCCUUCUCCUGUGCCUUUGGGAGACUUUUCAGGGAGGAGGCAGCAGACACUGGAGAUGACAUUCUUCCACAGGAGACGGGGCUUUGCCAGGGCAUGGCCCCUUUCAAGUAGCUCCUGGAGGAAGGUGUGUGGGGAGCAGAUGCUCCCAGCCAUCAGCACAGCCUCUGACCAUGGCAACAGCCUCUCACCAUCUGAAGAGCAUUAAAAGCAUUUAAAAAGGAAAAAAAAAAAAAAA